GAACAAAAGCUCAAAGGGCGAAUACUAAUAAAUCUCAAAACUCAAUAAGAUCAUAAAAUAGAUCUGGCUCUGAUCUCAAAAUCUCCCAGUUACAAUUUCUUUCAACAUUGUUUACUAAAUUAAAUAAUAAUAUGAUCAGUUGUCAAACGCAGCUGCCCCAUCCUCUUCCUCUGCCUCUCCCUGUCAAUAGCUUUCAGCUUCAAAGUCUCAGGUAUUCUAAAACAGCUCCUUCCUUUAUUUCUCCUGUUCUCUAGCUGCUUGUACAGUUUUGUCUUAUGAAUU
rnacentral:misc_RNA from 1 species